ACAAAUAUAUCGAAAGUUACCUACCAAAAAAUAUUGAAGGAGUCGGCCAAUAUAAAAAAUAACCCCUCUUGUUCAUUCAGCAGUCCAAGAAAAAAGAGGCCCAGGAAAUCACGUAUACUUGACAUUACUUCGACGCAACUUAAAGAAAUUAGGAGCAUAGUUAAUGAUUUUUAUAUAGUGGAAAAAAGAAGGCCUACUCUCAAGUUAAUCCUACAAAAGAUCAUUGACCGAUCUGUUAUUCAUGAGCCUAUGAGUAUACCAUCCUUAGCAAAACUACUAAAGAGCAUUGGAUUUAGAUGGAAGAAGACAGAUGAUAAUAGAAAGGCCUUGAUGGAAUCAUAUGACAUACGUUUGAAGAGAAUAAAAUACUUAAAACAAAUUACCGAAUUUAAAAAUCAAGGUAGAAAUAUAGUGUAUACUGACGAAACCUAUAUACACAGUAGUCAUACUUCUGACAAAGGUUGGUUUGA